UUCAACUGGGUAAUGAUUCUAGUUUUUGAACCAUUUUUAUAGGUUUGAAAACUCUUCUAUAUUCAUAGCUCCUUAAUGGUGGAAAAUUAGCCUUUGAACUGGCUGAUGCCAUUCAAAUAAGGUUUCUAUCUGAUAUCUGUGAUGAACACAAAUUGUUUCAUUCCUUUUUCUGCAUUGAGUCAAGUAUAUGCUUUACAAACACCUCAUCUCUGGCUGUAUCACAGUUAACCUUUCAUUACUUGUAUUACUUCAAAGGUUUAUUGGAGAGAUUAUAAAAUAAGCUUUACUAUUAAUUGUAAUCUAACAGUUACUAAUAUUGCAUUCAAGGGGAGAAAUCAGGACUGGUUCUGAUAUUUUUCAGAGAUUAAAUUGCUACUAUACUUGCAUGAUGUUCUCAUAAAUUUCAAUUCUGUGCAGGUAUUUUCAG
rnacentral:misc_RNA from 1 species